rnacentral:tRNA from 1 species
GGAGAGGUGCUCGAGUGGCUGAAGAGGCACGCCUGGAAAGCGUGUAUAUCCUAACAGGGUAUCGAGGGUUCGAAUCCCUCUCUCUCCGCUA